AGGAAAGGUGAGCUAUGGAAGAG
rnacentral:piRNA from 1 species